UAAUUUUGAAUUUUUUUAGAAGGUUAAAUUAAUAAAAAUAUGUUAUUCAAAUGUUUUAGACAUGUCAAUUAUCAAACAAUUUUUUCAUUCAGAUUCAGUUCAUUCAGAUUUAAAUAAUUCCUACUAAACAUGUAAUCACACUCAUAUAACACUAAUUAAUUCCUAAAUACAUAAUAUUGUAAACGUGUCAACUCCACGACAUGGUCAGAUUGAUAAGUUAACUGCAUUGGUCUUUAAGUGUUUUCCCUGCACAGCAAUAUUGGAAAAUAAAAGGUAACAAAAAUAAUAAUUCUCAAAAAGGAAUUUGAUAAUUUAUUUUAAAACAAAGAUUAACUACACAACCCUCUAUAAUAUGUUUCUAAUAUUCUGUUCGUGUAGAAGGACUCUUGUAGCGCUCCCAAAUUCGGGUACCUUGAACCUCGAACUUGGUACUUCACGAUACAUCAUUUCUAUAACUACUGCGUAAGAUAUAAAUAUAAAUUGUUUAUACAAUAAACUUUUACAACAUAACCCCAAGGUUUAUAACUUUAACUUAAUACAUAAUUUCAAUUAUUUAAAAGGUUUACAAUGUCGUUUGCAUUAGAUAACUUAAUGAUUUUAAAUGCAUAAUAGUCUACUCUUGAAAUUUGUUUUGCCUCUGUCUUCCUUCGAGUCCUCGUCUUAAUAUGAAAUUUGUUAUCAUAAUAUAACAAGGGUGAGUAACUAUUUUGCCCAACAAGUUUAAGUACAAUGAAGAUAUAUCAUGAUUGAAAAAGAAUAAGCUGUCAAAUUUUUAACAAUAUAUUAAUUGCGAAAGAACAUGAAUCAGAAUUUUAAUAAUUAAAUUACUGAACCAAUAAUGCGGAGUGGUCAACAAUGACCAUGAACAAAUUCAACUGAACCUUUAUGGUAAUCAAGGUGAUCAGCCUUUCAUACAUGAUGAACAUAUGCAACAUGCACUAUGUGCAAAUCAAUAAUCAUAGAUGUGGAAUAAUCAAUAAUAAUUAUCCACUAACAUGCUUGAAAGAUAAUAACUCGAGUUUGAGUUACGAAAAUUGCCUUGGUCGUUGAUUACUGCUACACAAUUUAAUUUAACUUCCUUUGAAAGACCUAUCAUUAAUAAUAUUGAUCUCUCAAUUAGAAUAAUACAUCAUAACGUAUACUACUGCUAUUUACAGUCAUCAUACAGCUUAAACACAUUACCAUGUAUUCCUAACAAUCGUUAGAACACAUAAGAACAUGUAUCAAUUAGUCAAACUAUUUCAAUCUGAUUUGAUUUCGAUAUUAUUUCAACGUCUCGAUUGCGUUAUCGAAUAAUUAUCGAGUUUACUUUCAAUAAAACUCUAAUUAAAAGCUUUAAUAGUAUUUUAGAUAAUUUAAUUAUCAUUUAUAAUAUUUUUCAAAAACUCAUAAUAAUUUUCAAAUAAUUAUUAUCAUUUAUAAUGAUUUUUCAAUCAUUAAUAUCAUUUUUGAAUGAUUUAAUUGCUUAAUAAUUUCAUUAUCAUUAAUAUUUAAAUAAUUUAAAAUAUUAAUAAAAUCCAUGUCAAAAUAUUAAAAGUUAUUUAUUAUAACUCAAAAUAUUUUUAAAACCUUAAUAUUACCUUUAAAUGAUUUUUAAACAAUUUAAAAUUAUUUUAAAAUAAUUAUCAUUAUUAUUAAGAUAUUAAUAAAAUUCCUGUCAAAAUAUUAAAAGUCAUAUAUUAUAACUUAAAAUAUUUUUAAAACCUUAAUAUUACCUUUAAAUGAUUUUUAAAAUAUUUAAAAUUAUUUUUAAAUAAUUAUCAUUAAUAUUAAGAUAUUAAUGAAAUUCAUGUCAAAAUAUUAAAAGUCAUAUAUUAUAACUUAAAAUAUUUUUAAAAACUUUAUAUCAUUUUUAAAUGAUUUUUAAAACAUAAAAAUCAUUUUAAAAUAAUUUAUUAUCAUUAAUAUUAAAAUAAUUUAAAAUAUUAAUGAAAUUUAUUUCAAAAUAUUAAAAGUUAAUUUUUAUAACUUAAAAUAAUUUUAAAAACUUAAUUGUGAAUUAUUCAUAAUUAUUUUCUAUUUUUUUAUUUAUUUUAAUUAAUAUAAUUAAUUUUUAUUAAAACUGUCGUUAAAGGCCUAUCGCGACAAAAACUAUCGUUAUAGGUGUUCUUCGGCCUUGAAGAACAGUCAAGUCAACUCUUUAGAGCCUACUUUGACUAUCUUUAAUUUUCAGUUCAUGAAAUUUCUGGGCAUGAGAGUGUAUCAUUGAUAUAGUAUUGAUGUAAUACUACAAGUACAUAUCAAAUUUGGGGUCUAACUACAUCAUAUCAUGAAGAUAUUGAUGGUCAAACUAGCCAACUAAGGUUGUUCUUGAGUUUCUGAAAAAUGUUGAGUAGCCUACUUUAAGCUUUAAUAACUUUGAUUCUAUGUGUUAUCUAAGUGAUCCAGUAUCUCACUCUUGUAGUAGACAUGUCAGGCUACAAAAGUGAUAUACUGGCUUAGCCUAAAAACAUCACAUGAGAGAGAUCUAGCUAGUCAAACUACCUAUCAUAGAGCUUGUUCUUCAAUUUUCUGGAAUUUCCAGGAAAUUGGAUUUUCAGCUUGUUUCACCUAUAUUUGACUAUUAAUAACUUGAAAUCUGUUGAUGUAAUGUGUAAUCCAUUGUCAGGGUUUUAUAGUCCAUAUGUCAGUGUAUAAAAGUGAUACACUUAGACAAGCUAACAACAUAACAUGAAGAAGAUCAUAGCUUCCAAAAAUCUUGUCAGACAGUUUCUAGGUUUUCCAGAACCAGUUUUCUGUGACUGGUCAACCAUGUUUGACCAUGGAUAACUUUCAAUCUAAACAUGACAUGGACAUGAUUCCACUUCCAAUUUACUCUCCUCAUGGCAUACUAUAACAAGGAUACACUUAACAAAUCUAACAAUUAACAAGUUAGGAUCUAAAGGCUUUGACAUUAGACUGUUAGACCAUAUUUUUAGGGUUUUACCAACUUGCUUAAAUAUCUAUUUUCAUGCAUUUAAAUGUUAUGUAUCCAUGAUUUAUCAACAUAGAUCACUAACUAACAUAACAUAGAACAUAUCUAAACACAAAAAUAGAAAAUCUACCUAAGCAUACAAGAUCUAGCUUAGGAUUUAUACCUUUUUGAACUAAUUUUUGAUUUCUCCUUUUUGAAUCUGAUCUUGGAUAGCUAUGGGGUGUUCUUGGCUUAACUUUUGACUGAGUUUUACUCUAAAUUUCGUAGGUUUAGAGAAUGAGAGGCUUGGCUAAGUGUAGAAACUAAAGUAAAAGCUUUUUGGUCUUUAAACCUCCUUUAAAAUCUUAUCCUUUUGAUUCAUUGUAUAUAGCUGAUAUAGG
rnacentral:lncRNA from 1 species